UACGAAGGGGGCUAGCGUUGUUCGGAAUUACUGGGCGUAAAGGGCGCGUAGGCGGUUCUUUAAGUCAGGCGUGAAAGCCCCGGGCUCAACCGGGGAACUGCGUCCGAUACUGGAGGGCUCGAAUCCGGGAGAGGGAUGUGGAAUUCCAGGUGUAGCGGUGAAAUGCGUAGAUAUCUGGAGGAACACCGGUGGCGAAGGCGGCCAUCUGGAUCAACACUGACGCUGAGGCACGAAAGCGUGGGGAGCGAACAGG
rnacentral:rRNA from 1 species